GGGACCGAGCACUCCCCUGCCUCUGUCCUUUCUGACCCACUGGGAUUUGCUAGCAGGCUGCCCCAGCCCCAUCACCAAGACACGUACUCAAGAGCUCAAAUACCACUGCUGCCACCAGCGUGUGGAUUAAGUUCAUCAGGCCUCCAUGGGCUGGAGCGUGGGACCGUAGCCCCUGCCCAGGAGCCAUACCCUCGGACCACAGUGGCUCUGGAUGGCCAGGAAUGGGGACUUGAGCGUUCAGAUUCUCAACUAGCCUUGACAAAACAGCUGUAGGUGGCCUCCCUGACACCAGGUACUCAGCCCUCCCCACCCUGGCUCUCCUUGCGUUUCCCCGAGCUGCCCACCCCCUGGCAAAAGGCUGGCCAAGCUCUGUUCCCAGCAGCCCCGCAGGGUUCCCCACUGGCUGCAGUGGCCCUAGUAAAAGCCAUGUUGCAUAUCCGCUGUAAGCACGUGCCCUGUGCCCUAUCCCCACCCCUUAUGCCCUAGGAGGCCAGGCUGGUGUCUCUAGGAGGGCCCCCACAGGCGCCCUGGGUCCCCCAGAGGGCAGACGGGUGUGCUCAGGCCGCAGGCUGACUCCGAUGCAGGGCAGUGGGCUCUGCAAGCCGCCUGGCUGGGGUUGGCAGGGGCCCUUUCUCCUGCCCCAGCUUUCACUCAGCCACCGCAGCUGCCCCACUGUGGGGUAGAGAUGUGAGUCACCACGGGCUUGGGAGCAAGCGCCUUCUGCAGCACAAGAAGGCGAAGGUGUGGUCAGAUGAGGCUGCUACCCCUGGAGGUGUGGCAUAUGGCCCCACCCUCAGGCCUCCUACGCUGGCCCCAUUUUACUUUGGGGUCCAAGGACAGGGCAGUCAACAGGGUAGGGUGGGCAGCGUGCUGGCGCAGGGGCACCUCCCUGGGUGGAUGCAUCGCACUAAGGAAGUGAGUGCCAAGGGGAUGCAGUGGUGUGGUUCUUUCAAAGGGAGGUCAGGGUCAAUGGGAAUCUGCUCGGACACUCGACACUGGGGUGGGUGCACUCCUGGGAGGAGCAUGUUCAGGGGAGCCUGGGGUCUUGCACAAGCCCAAGCGCAGGUUGUUUUGUACAUAUUGGAGUAUGUGUUAACUUAUGCCCUGCAGCCCAACUCACACGGAAGCACGGGUCUCGUCUCAGUCUCCGCUGCGUUUGGAAAGCAGUCUCGGCCCGCGCCGGGCUGAGGUGUCCCGAGGUGGUGGCAACUGGCAGUGCCCUCAGCCCCUGAGUCUCCAGCCUGGCACUUCCCGUUCAGGCCACCUGCUUUGGGUCAACGGUUCCUUGGCCAGCAGCAUCUCCUAAAUUGUAAGAACUCUGUCCCCCAGGGCCCUCCCAGGGCUGCGAGGACGGAAGCAGGCAGGCAGUGGAGCUAACAGCUUAGUCACCAGGACCCCCAGGCCUGCAAACGUCCCUUCCUGGAGGGGGAAGCCAGGAACAGCAGAACUGCCCACGAAACAAGGCUGUGAACUUUUCGGGAACUGGAACUGUUUAACUUGAACCCAGGAUCGUUUAAAGCUUUAUUUAUUUAUAGCUUCUUAAAAAAAAGUGUUGAGAAGAAAUGUUUUGGUUAUUCAUAACAAAAAAAAAUGAGUUGAUGAUGGAAAAGCAAGUCAUAAUCAUCUAAUUGUUUUUGUCUAGGUCGAGAAUGAAUGUUAGCCGAUGAAAUAAACUCUGACAAGGA
ensembl:lncRNA